GUGAUGAACAUGGUGUUGAAUCUGGCAGCUGCACCUCACCAAACAUGACAUGGCAGAGUUGAAAGGAAUGUUUUCAGCCUGUGCACACAGCAUAGCUGAACGUCAGAGCUGUUGAUGAAGUGUGGAGUUAUCUUACUGACUCUUGGAGACCAGAAGGUUUUGGGUGGCCAAGGAAAUCUUCAAAAUCAUCAUCUUGUAUCAAGACCAUCACCUUCAAACACUGUAGAAUCCAAGGGACUCCAGGCCAUGGCUGUUUUGUUCAACUUUGAUCCAGUGCCUAACCAGACCAGACACAAAACUGACCUUCAAUACCUUUUGGGGACUGAGCCACAUGGGCCUUGGCUUUCUCGACAUUACACAUGAGAGGGGGCCACCACCGUACCAGAAGCUUCCUCAAGAGAGCCGUGGCUACGCCGGUGGUAAGCAGACUCCAGGGUGUUUACUUAGUCGCUCACAGCAGGAGAGCAGCCCCAGCUUUCCUCCUCCAGUCAACAGUGGUUUCCUCCCUUGCCCAGUGCCCCUGGAGAAGCCCUCCCGGUCGACAGUGGUUUCCUCCCUUGCCCGGUGCCCCUGGAGAAGCCCUCCCAGUCAACAGUGGUUUCCUCCCUUGCCCGGUGCCUCUGGAGAAGCCCUCCCAGCUCUUUUCACAGGAAGUGCUCUUGCAGUCCAGGCUGCUAAGGCGAGCGGGACUGAGGGGAGACACUUAGGUAAAAGAGCUGAUGUGCUAGCACAAGAAAACUCAUGAAAGAAUCAGUCCCUUUUUCUACCAAAACACACAUGUCUAUAUGCUGCUGCCCCUUGAUGUCCUGAACCAGCUGAGGAUCUGGGGAUGCAAUGAGCG
ensembl:lncRNA